GAUGAACGCUAGCUACAGGCUUAACACAUGCAAGUCGAGGGCCCGGCGCACGGGUGAGUAACGCGUAUCCAACCUACCCAAUACUCAGGCAUAACCCGUUGAAAGACGGACUAAUUCCUAUUGGUAUUGGAUGGGGAUGCGUCUGAUUAGUUUGUUGGUGAUGUAACGGCUCACCAAGACUUCGAUCAGUAGGGGUUCUGAGAGGAAGGUCCCCAACAUUGUAACUGAGACACGGUCCAAACUCGUACGGGAGGAAGAGGUGAGGAAGAGUUGUCAAUGGAUGCAAAUCUGACCAAGCCAAGUAGCGUGAAGGAGGUCGGCCUUUGGGUUGUAAACUGCUUUUAUGAGAGAAUAUGUAUCAAAUGAAUAAGGACCGGCUAAUUCCGGGCCAGCAGCCGCGGUAAUUC
rnacentral:rRNA from 1 species